CUUUUACAUCGGCCUUCGCGAUCGUUUGGUCGUGUGGCAGGAACAAUGGCUCUGUCUUCAGUGGCACAGCGGAGCAGCUCUGUGAAGAUGCAAAAAUACACAAAAAAAAUUCCAGAACAUCUGGGAGAAUAUUUAAUGGAAAAUCGCUUGGUUAAAACCUGACACUCUUCACAGCAUUCUGAGUGUGGACGAGUAGCCAGUGAAGAUAAUGUCGGAUGUCACUGACUAGCAGCUUCAUUUUGAAUGAGGGUCGCUGUCUGCCCAUUGAUAGAGGCCAGAUUGUCUUGGAAGUUCCAAAGUUGCAACGAUUUCUGGCUAGUGCCACGAGGUUUACUUGACUGUUAUGUGAAAAGCUGAUAAGAAAACCAUCCAGAAAAAAACCUCUUCAUUUUACAAACAUGAAAAUAAAACAUGUAAUUUUGGAUUAUGUUGCUUUUUGUUAUUACUUUUAAAUAGGUCCUGAAAUAACAUGGGGGGCAUUAAAUGGAAAAUACACUUAAAAAAAAAAAAAAAAAA
rnacentral:lncRNA from 1 species